UACGAAGGGGGCUAGCGUUGUUCGGAAUUACUGGGCGUAAAGCGCACGUAGGCGGAUAUUUAAGUCAGGGGUGAAAUCCCAGAGCUCAACUCUGGAACUGCCUUUGAUACUGGGUAUCUUGAGUAUGGAAGAGGUAAGUGGAAUUGCGAGUGUAGAGGUGAAAUUCGUAGAUAUUCGCAGGAACACCAGUGGCGAAGGCGGCUUACUGGUCCAUUUACUGACGCUGAGGUG
rnacentral:rRNA from 1 species